AUGGAUGAUCCCAGGGAGUCAGCAAAUGUACCACAAAAAGUGUAUGACAUGGUGACUGAAAGGACUCAAGCACGCAUCCGUAGGGAUUGCGACACGGCUAAUACUCUUCGAAAUACCAUUGACGAAGCUGGAUACAAGAUAAUGAUCCGUUCAGGCAGUGAGAUCCUUGCAAGGAAAUACCGGAUCAGAAUGAGGGGAAUAGAUGCACCGGAGCUGAAGAUGACAUAUGGGAAGGAGUCAAAGGAUGCUUUGGUGAAGCUCAUUGGUGAGAAAAGCACCAGAAUUUAUGUGUAUGAGCAGGACCAAUUUGGCCGAUAUGUUGGCGACAUCUAUUGCGACAGUGUGUUCAUCCAGGAGCAGAUGCUGAAGAAUGGUCACGCAUGGCAUUUCAAGAAUUAUGAUUCACGCCAAGAGUUUUCUGAAUGGGAGAGAAAGGCAAGAGCUGCAUGCCAAGGGCUUUGGGCGUUAAAUAACCCUAAGAAGCCGUGGGACUGGAGAAGAGAUGAGCGCAAUGGAAGACACAUCACCAUUAAGCAGAAGUUGUUCGCAAAGGUUGCUUGGUUGGGAGCCUUGCUACUUGGAGGAAGAUAUUUGAAGAAAUUGGCGAUCUUCUUUUGGGAGAAGAUCGUCAUGGGGGGUCACGCGGAUUAG
rnacentral:rRNA from 1 species